rnacentral:lncRNA from 1 species
CCAGCCGCCACCGAGGACACCUUGUGUGGCCCCAGUCCUGGCACUGGCCUGGCUCCCAGUGAGGGUGGCCAGACCCUGGGCAGGGCUUCAUCGGCUGAGCUGCCUCCUGGCUGGUGGGCCUCAGCCUGCUUCUGAGGGAGGAGCAGCCCAGGUGUCCCUCAGCCUGUUUCAGCUCCAGCCGCUCCCUCGUGUUCUGUCUGCACUUAGUCCCCCCACAUGCUGCCCACCUCACACACACCGCUGCCUUCCUGGCUGCUGGAAGCUGGGUGAGACAGCCUGCCCUCUUGCAGGGCAUCACAGGGGCACCUGGCCCUCCACUGCCCCACCUCUGACCUCUGUGGUGUCACUGUGCUGCCCUGGGGACCCCAGGGUCAAGGGCUCGAGCUGUGUGCCCAGCUGUGGCCCCUCCAAAGAGUCCAGAACCAACCAAGGCCCUUGACUGUGCAACCCUGGUUCUUGCCUCGCCUGAGAGUCUCUGCCCAAAUGCAUCUGGAGUCCCUGCCCUGCCAUGGAACUAGAGGUCGGAAGAGUGCAAGUGUGGGAUCGCUGUCCCCACC